rnacentral:rRNA from 1 species
AUCCUCCAAGGCUAAAUACUCCUGACUGACCGAUAGUGAACCAGUACCGUGAGGGAAAGGCGAAAAGAACCCCGGCGAGGGGAGUGAAAAAGAACCUGAAACCGUGUACGUACAAGCAGUGGGAGCACGCUUAGGCGUGUGACUGCGUACCUUUUGUAUAAUGGGUCAGCGACUUAUAUUCUGUAGCAAGGUUAACCGAAUAGGGGAGCCGAAGGGAAACCGAGUCUUAACUGGGCGUUAAGUUGCAGGGUAUAGACCCGAAACCCGGUGAUCUAGCCAUGGGCAGGUUGAAGGUUGGGUAACACUAACUGGAGGACCGAACCGACUAAUGUUGAAAAAUUAGCGGAUGACUUGUGGCUGGGGGUGAAAGGCCAAUCAAACCGGGAGAUAGCUGGUUCUCCCCGAAAGCUAUUUAGGUAGCGCCUCGUGAACUCAUCUCCGGGGGUAGAGCACUGUUUCGGCAAGGGGGUCAUCCCGACUUACCAACCCGAUGCAAACUGCGAAUACCGGAGAAUGUUAUCACGGGAGACACACGGCGGGUGCUAACGUCCGUCGUGAA